GCUUACGGCCAUACCAGCCUGGGUACGCCCGAUCUCGUCUGAUCUCGGAAGCUAAGCCGGGUCGGGGCCUGGUUAGUACUUGGAUGGGAGACCGCCUGGGAAUACCAGGUGCUGUAAGGA
rnacentral:rRNA from 1 species